rnacentral:rRNA from 1 species
UACGGAGGGGACUAGCGUUGUUCGGAAUUACUGGGCGUAAAGCGCACGUAGGCGGAUUUGUAAGUCAGGGGUGAAAUCCCGGGGCUCAACCUCGGAACUGCCUUUGAUACUGCAAAUCUCGAGUCCGGAAGAGGUGAGUGGAAUUCCUGGUGUAGAGGUGAAAUUCGUAGAUAUCAGGAGGAACACCAGUGGCGAAGGCGGCUUUCUGGACGAUUACUGACGCUGAGACGCGAAAGCGUGGGGAGCAAACAGG